rnacentral:ncRNA from 1 species
AAAAACGUGGACAGAUUUGGACUGCUUGCAACCACUGAAAAAAAUGCUAAAUUGUAACUC